rnacentral:rRNA from 1 species
GAGUUUGAUCCUGGCUCAGAGCGAACGCUGGCGGCAGGCUUAACACAUGCAAGUCGAGCGCCCCGCAAGGGGAGGCGGCAGACGGGAUAGUAACACGUGGGAACGUACCCUUCAGUUCGGAACAACCCAGGGAAACUUGGGCUAAUACCGGAUACGUCCGUAAGGAGAAAGAUUUAUCGCUGAAGGAUCGGCCCGCGUCUGAUUAGCUAGUUGGUGGGGCAACGGCCUACCAAGCCUGCGAUCUGUAGCUGGUCUGAGAGGACGAUCAGCCACAUUGGGACUGAGACACGGCCCAAACUCCUACGGGAGGCAGCAGUGGGGAAUCUUGCGCAAUGGGCGAAAGCCUGACGCAGCCAUGCCGCGUGAAUGAUGAAGGUCUUAGGAUUGUAAAGUUCUUUCGCUCGUGACGAUGAUGACGGUAACGAGAGAAGAAGCCCCGGCUAACUUCGUGCCAGCCGCCGCCGUAAG